GCCAGGCAUGGUGGUGCAUGCCUGUAGUCCCAGCUACUCUGGAGGCUGAGGCAGGAGAAUCACUUGAACCCAGGAGGCGGAGGUUGCAGCGAGCUAAGAUCAUACCACUGUACUCCAGCCUGGGCAACAGAGUGAGACCCUGUCUCAA
ensembl:misc_RNA Metazoa_SRP Metazoan signal recognition particle RNA